GCCGCCUGCGAAUGUCUAGGAGCAUUAUAGAAAUGAUGUCAUACCUCUGCCAAGAAAAGAAAAAGAAAGAUCAAAACUCCAUUACUGUUGAGGUGAGGUUAAGCAANNNNNNNNNNGCUCCAGUGCACUUGGAUGAAACUUUCGAGCAAAGAGGUAACAAACAGAAGUCAUCUCUGAAUUGUAUGAACAUUCUGUCCCAUUACUCCUAAUAGACUGUAUAAAACUUUCUGUAACAUUAAUUCCCCUGUAUGUUGCUGGAUGUGGGCCCCCCAGGGACCAAUCAACCCAAGUCACAGUGCGAUUCGAAUUAAGCGGCCCAUGAAACAUGUUCA
rnacentral:misc_RNA from 1 species